rnacentral:rRNA from 1 species
GACGAACGCUGGCGGCGUGCUUAACACAUGCAAGUCGAACGCUGAAGCUUGGUGCUUGCACUGGGUGGAUGAGUGGCGAACGGGUGAGUAAUACGUGAGUAACCUGCCCUUGACUCUGGGAUAAGCCUGGGAAACUGGGUCUAAUACUGGAUACGACAUGUCACCGCAUGGUGGCGUGUGGAAAGGGUUUUACUGGUUUUGGAUGGGCUCACGGCCUAUCAGCUUGUUGGUGGGGUAAUGGCUCACCAAGGCGACGACGGGUAGCCGGCCUGAGAGGGUGACCGGCCACACGGGGACUGAGACACGGCCCAGACUCCUACGGGAGGCAGCGGUGGGGAAUAUUGCACAAUGGGCGAAAGCCGGAUGCAGCGACGCCGCGUGGGGGAUGACGGCCUUCGGGUUGUAAACCUCUUUCAGCACGGAAGAAGCGAAAGUGACGGUACGUGCAGAAGAAGCGCCGGCUAACUACGU